rnacentral:rRNA from 1 species
CCGAACGGCAGAAGUGGUGAUGGGCGCGUAUUUUCCGCCGGGCUCUUGGCCGGCGUACUUGUGCGCGUCCGUAGGUCAGCGUGGGUUGAGGCGUGGGAGUCGUUCAUGGGAAGGUC